rnacentral:rRNA from 1 species
UACGGAAGGCAGCAGUGGGGAAUAUUGCACAAUGGGCGAAAGCCUGAUGCAGCUAUGCCGCGUGUAUGAAGAAGGCCUUAGGGUUGUAAAGUACUUUCAUCGGGGAGGAAAAAACAAAACUAAUAAUUUUAUUUCUUGACGUUACCCGAAAAAGAAGCACCGGCUAACUCCGUGCCAGCAGCCGCGGUAAUACGGAGGGUGCUAGCGUUAAUCAGAAUUACUGGGCGUAAAGAGCACGUAGGUGGUUUUUUUAAGUCAGAUGUGAAAUCCCUGGGCUUAACCUAGGAACUGCAUUUUGAAACUGAAAUACUAGAGUAUCGUAGAGGGAGGUAGAAAUUCUAGGUGUAGCGGUGAAAUGCGUAGAUAUCUGGAGGAAUACCUGUGGCGAAAGCGGCCUCCUAAACGAAUACUGACACUGAGUGCGAAAAGCGUGGGGAAGCGAAAACAGGGAUUAGAUACC